rnacentral:rRNA from 1 species
CUCUGUGACUCCUACGGGAGGCAGCAGUGGGGAAUAUUGCACAAUGGGGGAAACCCUGAUGCAGCCAUGCCGCGUGUGUGAAGAAGGCCUUCGGGUUGUAAAGCACUUUCAGUAGGGAGGAAGGUAGUGUAGUUAACACCUGCAUUAUUUGACGUUACCUACAGAAGAAGCACCGGCUAACUACGUGCCAGCAGCCGCGGUAAUACGUAGGGGGCAAGCGUUAUCCGGAAUCACUGGGCGUAAAGGGUGCGUAGGCGGCUUAGCAAGCCAGGGGUGAAAGGCAUUGGCUCAACCAAUGUAAGCCUUUGGAACUGUUAGGCUUGAGUGCAGGAGAGGUAAGUGGAAUUCCUAGUGUAGAGGUGAAAUUCGUAGAUAUUAGGAGGAACACCAGUGGCGAAGGCGACUUACUGGACUGUAACUGACGCUGAUGCACGAAAGCGUGGGUAGCGAACAGGAUUAGAUACCCUGGUAA